GGAAGUGAAAGUCGUACCAAGGUUUCCGUAGGUGAACCUGCGGAAGGAUCAUUAUUGUAUAACCGAGGUGCGAGGGCUGUCGCUGACCCGAAAGGUCGUGCACGCCCGAGUGCCCUCACACACAUCCAUCUCACCCCUAUGUGCACCACCGCGUGGGUCCCCCUUUGGCUUGUUCGGAGGGGGGCUUACGUUUUCACACAAACUUUGUAUGCAGUGUAGAAUGUAUUUUUUGUUUUUGCGAUCACGCAAUCAAUACAACUUUCAACAACGGAUCUCUUGGCUCUC
rnacentral:misc_RNA from 1 species